CGGACGGGUGAGUAACGCGUGGGUAACCUGCCUUGUACAGGGGGAUAACAGUUGGAAACGGCUGCUAAUACCGCAUAAGCGCACAGUACCACAUGGUAUAGUGUGAAAAACUCCGGUGGUAUGAGAUGGACCCGCGUCUGAUUAGCUAGUUGGUGAGGUAACGGCCCACCAAGGCAACGAUCAGUAGCCGACCUGAGAGGGUGACCGGCCACAUUGGGACUGAGACACGGCCCAG
rnacentral:rRNA from 1 species